rnacentral:rRNA from 1 species
UACGUAGGGUGCGAGCGUUGUCCGGAAUUAUUGGGCGUAAAGAGCUCGUAGGCGGUGUGUCACGUCGGCCGUGAAAACCUGCAGCUUAACUGUGGGCGUGCGGUCGAUACGGGCAUCACUGGAGUUCGGCAGGGGAGACUGGAAUUCCUGGUGUAGCGGUGAAAUGCGCAGAUAUCAGGAGGAACACCGGUGGCGAAGGCGGGUCUCUGGGCCGAUACUGA